AGAGAAGGGGUUUCACCAUGUUGCCAAAGCUAGUCUCUUAACUCUUGGGCUCAAGAGAUCCACCUGACUUGGCCUCCCAAAGUGCUGGGAUUACAGCCUGAGCCACAGCACCUGGCCUUAGCAUACAAUUAAUGUGAGUCUGAGAAAGUCAGUUUACUACUCUGAGUUCUCUUAGUCUGUAAAAUAUGAAGGUUGAAACACAUACCUUUUUUACCCGAAGCUGUAGUUAAGUGAUUAACGUAAUGCUAAUGCUGCUUUUAAGUUACCCAGGCGGGAACUGACACAAGCAGAUUGAGGUAUAACUUUUAAUGUUUUGUUUAUCUUACUACUGAUAUGUUUCUUAGGAAAGGGUGACUUGUUUUCAUUUAACAGUAAAACCAUUAUUGUACUAUGAAAUCUAAUGAAGCCUUGUUUAUCUUGUUUUUAAAUAUUUUUCAUGUAAUUUUUUGAUACUGUUUUGAAAUCGUGGCAACUAUGGAAACCUAUACAUAAUAAAAUUCUAUUAUUAGGAUAGGCAUUCCCCGGAGAGAAGUUUACUGUCUUGUGCUUCUUCGUUCGGAGAUUUGGUAAUUCAUUGUAACUGAAAAGGGUUUUGCACAACUUCAGUGGUCCUUCAGCCGAGAGAAGAAAUACCUCUGUGGUCAGACUGUUAAAGUAAAUGCAGAUUAGGUACAAUGAUGGCAUUCUUUUCAACUCUAGUUGGAAGUUUGUAAAGUGCAAAGUAAGCCUUUGAAGAUUUACAUUGUUUGGUUUUUUUAUGAUUAACCUUGAGUGCUUUGAUAAUAUAUUAACUAGAUUUAAAGAGGAAAAUGAAUAUUUAAGAAAAACAUAGUGGUUCUACAAAGGCUCUUAAAAAUUAAUGGAUAAUUGUGAGUGAUCAUUAUGUUGAAGGUAUAAAGAGAAAUGAGAGGAAAGUUAGUACUUUAGAUAUGAGAAAUAAAACACCCUUCAAAUUUAUGUCUUCUGGUACCUUUUUUAAUAGAGCAAAAAACUCCUAGGGUUUUUCACAUUCACUGAGCUGCAUUGUUGAAUAAAGCUUGAUUAUAGAGGUUCUUGCCACAUAUUGUACAGUUAUUUUUCUCUUGUGGAGUAGUGUUCUUAAAUUUAAUAGGCAUGACCUUCAAGAUCGUAUUAAUAGUAAGUUUCUGUAUCUUCUUACUUUUAAGAAGGCAGCUUGACUUGAAAAUAUUAAGGCUUCACUUGGAAAUAUUAAGGCUUCACUUGGCAAAACCACUUGAGGAAUUGGAAUGGAGUGCUAAUUUAUUUUGGAGAUUUUAAAGUUUUUCUUUUUUCUGCUAGUAAAUAAAUAGGCAAAUCAGAUAUUAGGUGGUUUACUGAUGAAGUGAAAAUUUGUUUCUCAACUUUUAAUAAAUAGAUGUGAAAGAUGGCAAAAUGCCAAGAUAAAAUUGUAGCUCCUAGGAUUUCGAAACAAAGAAUUAUACAGCACAUAAAAAAUCCAGUUUUAAUUCAAGAUACACUAUUCUGUUAUACUUGCACAAUGUAUAUUACAGAUGAUAGCAAUAUUACUGUGAUCUAUUAGAUGCAUAUGGGUUGGGAGAUGGGAUGAGGUCACUUAGCUCCCACAGGAGAAGUUUAGAAGACUGUAGUAACUACUUCCUGGAAAUAAAAUAGUUAAAGGAUGUGUGCCCCAGAGGUAAGUGCCAGAGCCUGAAGCUUGCAUAGCAAUAGUGUCUUGUGUCUCCUCCAGAUAAGCUGUUCUAGUAGAAUGAGGAUUUUUAGGCCUAGUUUGGGGAAAGAAAUGAAAAGGAGUAGGUUUUACCAUCUUUUGGUUUUAGACUGUUUCUUCAUGUUAGUACGUUACGGUGAAAAGAGCUGUUCAUAGAGCCAGUAGCACAAUCAAGGCGAGUGUAUUGGCUCUGUUAACAAGCUUUUUCACUUAACCUUCCUGGAACUCAGUGAUCUCUAACCUCAUUUAAAACAUGAUAAUUGAGCUUCUACCAUAUAUCAGGUGAUGGGGCUAUGAUAGUGAAAAAAUAUUAGAUAUCUAAAAAUCUGUGGUUCUACAUCAUGUGUUGCAUUUUUUGCCUCCCUGAAAUUGAAUCCAACUUUCAGGACUUACAGUCACAGCAACAACUUAGAUAAGCUUAAGGAAAACAAAAAGGGAGCGGGGUAGAAGAUUUAUUGGCCUGUGUAACUGGGAAAGCCAAAUUGUGACACUGGUUUUAGGAAUGGCUGGAUCCGGGGAUUUAGAUGAUGUCAUAGAGACUUGAUUCUCUUUCCAUGUUUCAAUUCUCCUUUUCUCUUGUGUAGUGGUAAAGCUAGGCUGACGUUCUUAUAGCUAGCAGCUAAAGAGCAUCCUGUCUUUCCCAGCCUGUAUUUAUCCCUUCUUAUCAAGCAUUUUUGAUCUUCCGCUCUUCCCCCAUCUAAUUAAUCACCAGGCCACCUCUCAGGUUGAGGAGGCAUGACCGUGUGAUUGAAAAUACCCAUGUAUAAUAAUAAUACGGAGUUGUUUUUAUUGGGUUUUUUUGCAUGUUUUUAUUUUUAAGCAGAAGGGGUAAGGAGUUCUGGGUAGGCAAAACCAAAUGAUUCCUAUUAUAUGA